CCAAGCAUUAGCAGCCCACCCCAGUCGAAAGAUAACUUUUAUAGCUGAUCUCUGGUGACACCUCCUACCUUCCAAUUAGGAGCCUGUCAACACCCCAGCCAUCACUCUUCCUGCAGCGGCUGACAACCCCGGCAACUGCUGAGGCUGCUUGAGGAUGGAAACUUUCCCUGGCCACGCAGGAAGUUCCCGGACAUUACUAAAUUUUGGUGGAGGCUCCCUGCUGAAGACUGUCUCAGUCCCAUCUGCUGCGGUGCAAGAACUGCCCAAGACGGGAAAACUGGAGCAGAGAAAACAAAUCCAGCCUCAGCCAGAGGGGCCUCUGCAUUGCUGGUCAGGAGAAAGCAACUGCUCGAUUUCUGGUUUGCCUCUCAGACUGCUGAGCUCCCGGGUCACCGGCCUGAACUGCUUAAUGCACAUCACGCCUGGGUCGACCUGGAAAUGGCUGAAGGCAGUUAAAUGGAAUGUCCAACCUUUGUUCCCGGCCCCGAAACCACAGGUAAGUAUUUAGGUCUGUGUUGUAUCGAUCACACCUCCCACUGGCACAGGGAGAAUGUUGUGAAGAAAGUCAACUUUCCAGUGACAAGGGAAGUCAUUCUCCUAAUCCACUCUCAUGGACAAUCAGGUUGACAAAAACCAUUAAGUUUUCUGAGAUUAGAAAUUCACUGUCAGAGGGAGCCGUCUACAGAGCUUUCCACUCCAUUACACCCAGGACAAUAACCAGAGGCCAAGUGACACUAAAGACUGGGGCUUUUUAAAGUUUCCUGUGUCAUUGGGUAGAAGGAAAUAAAUUAAUGAGUGCCUACUUUUUUUUGGACUCUGGAUAUAUAUUAUCUCAUUAAACAGCCAAUGAAGUGGGCUCUGUUUAUUGCAUUUUGCAGAAGGGGAAGCUGGGACUCAGAGAGAUUGGGUCACU